rnacentral:sRNA from 1 species
GUUUGAUUUAAUUUUGGAUGAGAUUGUUCUUGCAGCAAGAUGUUAAUAAGACAAAAUCUAGGUUAUUCUGGAGCAAACCCAGACAUAUUUGUUAUUUAUUGAUCUCCACCACAUCCCCAUUGGUAAUUUUUUUCCAGUUGUUUUUUUAUUAUGGUAAACUAUAUGUAACAUGAAAUUUGCCAUUUUAACCAUUUUUAAGUGUACAGUUCAGUGUUCCUAUAUACAUUUAUAAUGUGCACUCAUCACCACCAUCCAUUUUCAUAACUUUUUGUCUUGGAAAACUGAAACUCUGUACCCAUUAAACAGUUCCUCCGUUUCUCCUGCUCCUGAGGUCCUGGAAAUCACCAUUUUUCUCUCUUUGAAUUUGACUAUUCUAAGUGUCUCAUAAGCAGAAUCAUAUAGUGUUUGUCUUUUUGUGACUGGCUUAUUUCACAAGUAUGAUGUUUUCAGGGUUCAUUCAUGUUACAGUAUUUUGCAGAAUUUCCUCCCAUUUUAAGUCUGCAUAAUAUUGCAUUAUAUGUAUGUAACACAU